ACAUCAUGUUGAAAAUCCGGUUCCCGUACGAUCACCGAGGUUAAGCAACUUCAGGCCUGUACAGUACCUAGAUGAGUGACCGCUUGGAAGUACCAUGUUCUGUCA